rnacentral:ncRNA from 1 species
UACAUGUGGUGAAAUUUGGUUGGAUGCCUCAUCACGAUGGUUGGGCAUGCUUAGAGGUUGACUUUUGGUCAAAAUUUUAAUUAUUAAUUAAUUUCCUAAGUGAAGGUAGAAUGCUUAAGUCUUCAUACUCUCCACUUGAAUAACAUGUAAAGCAUAAAUGAGUUUUUAAUAUAUACAACACCCCCUAACCUUAUAAAUCGUCGAACCAUAACCCAUAACCCUUCUAAAUAUGAAAUGUGAUUUAUUCACAUUGCUCUACAUGUCAAAGUGAAGAAAUUCAACCAAGAGCGGGUAAAUGGAGGGAGUAGUUAUGACUUUCUUAAGGUAGCCAGAUGCCUCACCAUGUAAUUAGUGACGCACAUGAAUGGAUCAUUAACGAGAUUCCCCACUCUCUCUAGCUACUAUAUUCUAGAGAAACAACAUCCAAGGGAAUAGGCUUGGCAUAUUUAUCAAGGAAAGAAGACCCUGUUGAGCUUGACUCUAGUCCUAACCCAUUCAUAGUUUGGGAAAAUUAUACCAUAACAUUUGUCUUUUGGAGUC